rnacentral:snRNA from 2 species
UUACUUACCUGGAUGGGGUCAAUGGGUGAUCAUGAAGGCCCAUGGCCUAGGCAAGUGACCUCCAUUGCACUUAGGAGGGGUGCUUGCCUAAGGUCUACCCAAGUGGUGGAGCCUACAUCAUAAUUUGUUGCUGUGGGGGCCUGCGUUCGCGCGGCCCCUUC